UGUUGCUUAGAAGUUGAUUAUAUUUGUUUUUAGGUUUAUAUGCCUUUUGCAUCAUGCUUAAUGGAUUUUUUUAAAUUAUAUUUUACAUCGAAUAGCUUAGAUCUCAGAAUAUGGUUGUUUAGAACUUAUUUUUACUAGGUAAGUAUAUAUAAACUUAUUUUGUGGUGUGAAAUGUUAGUCGUUAAGUUGUAUAACUAUUUUAUCACUUGUUUUUUCUUAUAACGUAUUAGGUUUAAGAUCUAGUACGCGAUGUUAUACUUUUUUUAGUUGUAUGUUAUAAUUGGACUAGAAGUAUUCAUUUAUUGUAAAAUUGUUAAAAAUUUUGUUUAUUUUGAGGCUAAGUUGACUUAAAUAGGUGAUAUCAUGUUAAUUAUUGGAUUGAAAAAUCAUUAAAUAAGUAAUUAUAAUAUGGUGAUUAUUUCUCGAGGUUUAUACGUCUGUUUAUUAAAAACAUUUCCAAUUGUAAUAAUAAUUGGUAGUACCUGCCCAAUGUGUUUAUGAAUGGCCGCAGUAAUUUGACUGUGCAAAGGUAGCAUAAUUAAUUGUCCUAUAAUUGAGGACUUGUUUGAAUGGUUUGACGAGAUAAUUUUCUUAUAUUCGCUAUAUUGUUGAAAUUAUGUUGUGAGUGCAGAAUCUCCGAAUUUUUAAUAAGACGGAAAGACCCCGGGAGCUUUAGUGUUUGCUUGGGGCAAGAUUUUAUAUUUUAUAAAUGUUUAGACCCUAUAAAUUUGGGUUAGCGGGUUAAGUUGCCCCGGGGAUAACAGGGUAAUAAUUAAUAAGAGAUCGUAUCGAAUUAAUUGUUUGCCACCUCGAUGUUGACUUGGGUUAAUAUUAUGGCGCAGUAGUUUAUAUAUUAGGUCUGUUCGACCGUAGUAACCUUCAUGAGUUGAGUUUAGACCGGUGUAAGCCAGGUCGGAUCUUAUCUAUUGUUUGGGCUUAUUAGUACGAAAGGACCGUAGGCUCUUUUUUUU
rnacentral:rRNA from 1 species